rnacentral:rRNA from 1 species
CAGCUGGAACGGCUGCUAAUACCCGAUGUGCCGAGAGGUGAAACAUUUAUGGCCUGAGGAUGAGCUCGCGUCUGAUUAGCUAGUUGGUGGGGUAAGAGCCUACCAAGGCGACGAUCAGUAGCUGGUCUGAGAGGAUGAUCAGCCACACUGGGACUGAGACACGGCCCAGACUCCUACGGGAGGCAGCAGUGGGGAAUUUUCCGCAAUGGGCGCAAGCCUGACGGAGCAAGACCGCGUGCGGGAGGACGGCCUAUUGGUUGUAAACCGCUUUUGAUAGGGAAGAAGCUCUGACGGUACCUAUCGAAUCAGCAUCGGCUAACUCCGUGCCAGCAGCCGCGGUAAUACGGAGGAUGCAAGCGUUAUCCGGAAUUAUUGGGCGUAAAGCGUCCGUAGGUGGUUGUUCAAGUCUGCUGUUAAAGCGUGCGGCUUAACCGCAUACCAGCAGUGGAAACUGGACGACUAGAGUGCGGUAGGGGUCAGGGGAAUUCCCAGUGUAGCGGUGAAAUGCGUAGAUAUUGGGAAGAACACCGGUGGCGAAAGCGCCUGACUGGACCUGCACUGACACUGAGGGACGAAAGCUAGGGGAGCGAAAGGGAUUAGAUACCCC